rnacentral:rRNA from 1 species
GACGAACGCUGGCGGCGUGCCUAAUACAUGCAAGUUGAGCGCUGAAGGUUGGUACUUGUCCCAACUGGAUGAGCAGCGAACGGGUGAGUAACGCGUGGGGAAUCUGCCUUUGAGCGGGGGACAACAUUUGGAAACGAAUGCUAAUACCGCAUAAAAACUUUAAACACAAGUUUUAAGUUUGAAAGAUGCAAUUGCAUCACUCAAAGAUGAUCCCGCGUUGUAUUAGCUAGUUGGUGAGGUAAAGGCUCACCAAGGCGAUGAUACAUAGCCGACCUGAGAGGGUGAUCGGCCACAUUGGGACUGAGACACGGCCCAAACUCCUACGGGAGGCAGCAGUAGGGAAUCUUAGGCAAUGGACGAAAGUCUGACCGAGAAACGCCGCGUGAGUGAAGAAGGGUUUCGGAUCGUAAAACUCUGUUGGUAGAGAAGAACGUUGGUGAGAGUGGAAAGCUCAUCAAGUGACGGUAACUACCCAGAAAGGGACGGCUAACUACGUG